rnacentral:rRNA from 1 species
UACGUAGGGGGCAAGCGUUGUCCGGAUUUACUGGGCGUAAAGAGCGUGUAGGCGGCCACGCAGGUCCGUUGUGAAAACUGGAGGCUCAACUUCCAGCCGUCGACGGAAACCGUGUGGCUAGAGUCCGGAGGAGGAGAGUGGAAUUCCUGGUGUAGCGGUGAAAUGCGCAGAUAUCAGGUAGAACACCAAUGGCGAAGGCAGCUCUCUGGGACGGUACUGACGCUGAGACGCGAAAGCGUGGGGAGCGAACAGG